GAUGAACGCUGGCGGCGUGCCUAAUACAUGCAAGUCGAGCGAGCGGACGAGAAGCUUGCUUCUCUGAUGUUAGCGGCGGACGGGUGAGUAACACGUGGAUAACCUACCUAUAAGACUGGGAUAACUUCGGGAAACCGUAGCUAAUACCGGAUAAUAUUUUGAACCGCAUGGUUCAAAAGUGAAAGACGGUCUUGCUGUCACUUAUAGAUGGAACCGCGCUGCAUUAGCUAGUUGGUAAGGUAACGGCUUACCAAGGCAACGAUGCAUAGCCGACCUGAGAGGGUGAUCGGCCACACUGGAACUGAGACACGGUCCAGACUCCUACGGGAGGCAGCAGUAGGGAAUCUUCCGCAAUGGGCGAAAGCCUGACGGAGCAACGCCGCGUGAGUGAUGAAGGUCUUCGGAUCGUAAAACUCUGUUAUUAGGGAAGAACAUAUGUGUAAGUAACUGUGCACAUCUUGACGGUACCUAAUCAGAAAGCCACGGCUAACUACGUG
rnacentral:rRNA from 1 species